rnacentral:tRNA from 1 species
CAAGGUGUAGCGCAGUCUGGUAGCGCAUCUGUUUUGGGUACAGAGGGCCAUAGGUUCGAAUCCUGUCACCUUGA